AUAUACAUACAAACACAAACGUAGCAAGUUUAUGGAUUGUGAUAAUGAGCUAAUUAUAACAAACUAUUGUGCAAACAUACUUUUGGCUUGUGUUAUAUAAUAUGUCAAAUUAAUUUUUACAGUUAACUUGUUUUAGGCACAAUGGAUUUUGAAGGAUGGGGUAUUAUGCAUCUCGUCCAAGAAAGAAUUCGGAGAAGGCGCCAACGUAACAGGCUUAGGUUGUAUCGUAGGCAGUUACGGGACAGCUUCAACCCAUUUGAGUUGCGGCAAGUGGAAUUCCGUACUCUUUUUCGAAUGGGUAUGAGAAUGGCAUUUGAGCUUGGUGAAGCGCUGAGACCGAAUCUUGAAGGUCAGCGAAGUACCAGUGCACAUCCAGGUGUUAGUAGCGGUUCGGUUUUUUGCCACUGGAAGCUACCAGCGAGCUGUAGCACAAGAUUUUGUACUGGCAGUCUGCCAGACUGCAGCAGGCAAUUGUGUGCGACAGGUGAGCCAGCUGCUUAGUGGAAACUUUGCAGCCCUUUGGAUUAGAUUCCCACAGACCUACGAAGAACGGGAGAGAGUGCAGAGACAGUUCGUAGCAGCUACUGGAUUUCCAGGCGUAAUUGGUUGCAUCGAUUGCUCCCACAUUGCGAUUGUGAGACCUACAGCUAAUGAAGCUGCCUAUUUUAAUCAAAAUCGCUUCCAUUCCAUCAAUGUCCAAGUGGUGUCCAGUUACGAUCUUAGGAUACUGCACAUCGACCCACGAAUGCCGGGCUCUUACACGAUCAGUUUGUCUUCAGGUUUGGGAACCUGAGGGAAGCACUGGAGCAACAGUAUGCCAGAGGGCUUCGGAACUGCUGGUUGUUGGGAGAUUCUGGCUAUGUACCAGAGCCAUAUCUUCUGACUCCAAUUAGAAAUGCUGAGGCAGGUUCAGCGGAGGAACGGUACACACGGGCCCACUGCAGUACCUGCAACUGUAUCGAGCGUUUGUUUGGAGUUAUGAAGACUGAGUGGCGAUGUCUCAUUAAGGACCGCGUUCUUCAUUACAGCCCAUUGACAGCAGGGCGCAUAAUUGUGUCUUGUGCUGUAUUGAACAACAUGAUGAGGCAUUAUAGAAUUUUGGAACCAGAUGUGUUACUUGAUGAACAUAUUGAAAUUUUUGAAGGUGAUGUUGGAGAACCUGCAGCCAAUGCAUUGAAUGUGCGGGCCCAAGUUGUUCAGCGUCACUUUCAAAAUUAAGUUUUGUCAGGUUUUCACGUAAACAAUUUUUCCAAUUUAUAUUAUUCAUAGUAGUAAAUUUCCAAUUCGUUUCUUACAUUAGCAUGUGCAUUUAUCAAAUAAUGAUGUUACAAAAAACCCAAUAACGAGUAACUAUUUAACUGUUAUUAAAUGAUUUUCUAUCACAAGUAAUCAAAAUGUAAAGUUUGAGAAAGUAUUCAUAUUUCUUUCAGUUACAAGAAAAUAUUCUAAUAAUAAGAGAGAUUUACGAACCAUCUCGUCUAUUCAUAUUUGAUUUAAUUAUGUUAUUUUGAAAAUCUUUCAAAUCAUUGUUAAUUGUCCUGAAUGACAGAAGUGUUAAUCCCAGUUAUGUAGUGUAUGACUUAUUUUUUCUUUUUAGUUUUUUCUUUACAGAGCUUACUGACUAUAUAAAAGUAGUUAUACAUAAAUUUGAUAUUUUUUUAAUGGCAUUAAUGUAGAUUGAUUCAUAUUAUUUACAGUAAGAAAUAUAUGGCCUUUUUGUGUACACAUGUAUGUGCUAUUUUGAAAAACAACAUCUAAUGCACAGUACAUUUACUUCAAAAUAGUAAUAAAUUUUGUCUGCAAGUUAUUUUUGUUGUAGAAUGCAUAGGGGAAGGCAAUACAAUUCUUUUUUUUAAUUCAGUGUCUUCCAAAACAGCUUUAUUUACACAUUCGUGACCAAAUGAGUUCAUACUUUUGGAUAUUAAUGGCAGCAACAUAAACUGUAGUUUAGUUCAACAAGUUGACAAGCAUAUUUACUCUAAAUAUCCUCAAUAAUCGAACCAUUAUUUAUGUUUAUUUUCUUUUUGUUGUAGAGUCUGAUUUGUCAUAAAUCAAUACAGCGAGAGGGCUGCUACUGUGUUACAUAAUGGUACAGGAUCGCGACAAAACAAUACAAAUAAGUAAACUAUUUUUUUAUGUUAAAAAUUGUAUGGAUUUUUGAACUGACCACAGAAUAUUUGUGCAACAGUUUUUUGUGUUGGUAGUAAAAAAAAAGAUUAGAUUAUACCUGGCUCGUUUAAAAUUCCCAGUAGCACAUGCAGAUAUUCUAACUCCAUUAUUAGUUUUGAGCUUUAAGUGCUGUAAAUGUCAUGUACAUGAAUCUAGUAACGUUGAGUUUGGUUUUCGCAUACAGAAAUAUCUGAAACUUAUCCGCACAUAGCCAUGUAAGGUCCAACAAGAAAAUAAUAUUCUUAAGCCCAUUACCAUAAAUCAAGAAUAUGAAUAAAACGUGCACUGAAUUUUUCACAAAAUUGAGUAACUACUUAUGAAAAGUUAUGUUAAAAAUUUGAAUACGCCCUGGGCAUAAAUUGAUUUUUUUUGCAGAAUUUAUAUAAAUUUGUAACAAUAAUCCAGUCUAAAUAAAUUUAAUAAAAAUAACCUAAUUUUAUAUCUACUUUAAUCAAUAUUAAUUGAAUGAUAAAUUGCUAGUCACAUUUGAAAUUUAAUACUAUCACAAUCCUACAUUAAUUUAUGUGUUGACUUUUGAAAAAUCAGUAGUCAAUUUUAUUUUCUCUGUGGAAUGACAUUUCAUAUAUGACAAUCAAGAAAUUUAUGUGACAAAAUCAACUUAUUUUAGUUAACAUAACAUUGGGUCUGUAACAAUGCAAAGCAGAUAUCAGCAUAUGGGGAUUGGCAAGUUUGGAAAAUAUAUUUCUCUACAUGGAUUAAUGUUAGUCAUGUGGAGAGCUUCAAUAAUACAAUUGAGUUUGAAGUUAUUUUAGUAUUCGAGAACACUAACAAACUAUAUGAACUAUUGGCAUUGAAACAAACCUCUCUGAUAAUUCGAUGUUUCACAUCCUUUGUAGACUUAUUUGCUGUGAACUUAGAAAGGUGAAAUAAUUAAAGAUUAUUCUAACAUUAGAACAUUUAGGCAACAUGCAGCAUCGCCUUUCUGGGCGUGAGUUUGUUAACAUUAUCUCAUAAUGGCAAGAUGCAUAGUGCAGUCUGGAGUUAUUUCACAGAUGUUGGCAAAUGUGAUGUAUGUAAAUAGUUUUUUCUAGUGUCUGUGUGGUAGCUGAUGAUAUUUAACUCAUGUCUGCACUAAUUCAUUACUAAUUAGGCACUUACCUGUAAAAAUCAAUGUAAUUUUUUUGAAUGUACGUGGUAAUGACUGCUCCACCUAUCCCAAUUAUAAAAAGGACAGUAUGGUAAAUUGCAAUGAUCAUUGGCAUAUGCGACACUGGUGGGAUGGUAAUUUUUAGUACCCUUCAACCUUAUUAAAUUUCACUGUGCCAUUUCUGUGUUAUGAUUUUCUCAGUGAUGUUCGUAACACAGAUUUCUUUUACGAAACUGGGUACCUAAGGUGAUGUUAUUUGCAAUGAAAUAAAGAUAUUGUGUCAUAUUUUAGGUUGUUAAUUUUGAAAAUAGUACUAUCAAAACU